CACCAAAAUCUGGGGUGCCGUCGCGCUGAGAUAAAACCCAUCACACCUGAUCUAGUUAAUACUAGCGUAGGGAGAUUUACUUGAAAAUGU
rfam:Leuconostoc mesenteroides subsp. mesenteroides ATCC 8293, complete genome.